rnacentral:lncRNA from 1 species
GGAGAGGAGAGAUGUAGAUAGGAACAGAGUGGAAGGAAAGAGGAAGAGCGAGGGAAAAGAGCGAGGUGCAAGAAUCCUUCAUAUUCCCAGAGAGCAGGACUGCACAGACAGCUCUAGAACUGUUCGUGGUUGGGACGUCCAGUUCUGCGCAGUAGUUUAGAACCACAGACGGCUGGUUCUAGUCAAAGUCUUACUAAACCUUGGAGGAAGGUCACUUUUACCAAAGCGAAAGGCAGAAAGGCUGACUUGUAGCAGACGGGAGCUUGGUUCAGAAUGUGGUUAACCCUUGUCCAGAGGAGACAGAAUGUGCCCCUUCUGAGGGCUCGUGGAACCCUUCUCGCCGGUGCUUCCUCCUACGCAGGGCUCUGCCCUUACAGCUGGAAUGCAUCCCGCUGCUGGAGGCCACAGGUGCCACACACUUCUUCGUUGUGCCACAGAUUAAUCCACACGGUCAGGACUGUUGCUGGGGAACUCCAGCCGGCAAAGAAUUCCAGUGGGUCAGAGACAAGUUGGUGCCACAGCCUCCGAGAGGAACUGGUGAGUGCUUAUGGAGCAAAGAGCAUGUAGAACCUUCUAGUCUCUGACCACGUGGUAAGAUGGAGCAUCUGUCUCAGCAAGCUUUGCUCUCUCUUUUCUCUCUGGCCUAUUCUGGUCCCCUUUCUGCAAGAGUUUGAUUUUCCCUCUCUUUUCUCUACAUGUCUGCAGGUGUGUCAGUACAUGGAUGGAUAGACAAACACACACGCUCAUGCACACAUACUUAGGCACAUACACACUUAGAUACACACUUAUACACACACACACACAUGCUCAUGCACACAUACUUAGGCACAUACACACUCAGACACAUGCACACACUCACUCACAUACACUCAGACACACACUCACACACACACAUGCUCAUGCAUACAUUCUCAGGCACACACUCAGACACACACACACUCAGACACACACAUUCAGAUACACUCAGACACACAAACACACUCAGGCACACACACACUCACACACACACUGAGACAUGCAUGUCCCAUGUGGGGAUAGGUUGCACUUCCUCUUUCAGCUGUGGCUUCUGGGCAGCUGCUCUACUCUGUCAUUUCUGCCUUAUGAAGCUUUGUCCCUAUUCAAGUAACAGAAAGCAGAAAGUGGCCCGGGAAACUCGACCUUCAAGCACACAGAACAAAAGAGAGAGCCACUGUCUUCCUGGAAAUGGUGCAUCAAAACUAUUUGCUGGGAUUGGCUUAAAGCUGGCUUGAUGGCUAUGGUCUAUUUUUGGAUGGGUCAAGCUGGUAUAAAAAGGAUGUGUGAACGUGAAGAUGAAGAAAUGCACUUUCUAUGGACAGAACUAAGACUCACCUGAAUGAGUCUAGGAAAGAAACUUAACUCAGUUACAAAAUGCUGGAUAAAGCCAAGAGACUUAAUAAAGUACUUUCUUGUCAAAAAAAAAAAAAAGAAAAGAGAAAAGAAAG